UACAGAGGUCCCGAGCGUUGUUCGGAUUCACUGGGCGUAAAGGGUGCGUAGGUGGCUGGGACUAAGUUGUGAGAAGUCAGGGCUUAACCCUGAAAUGGCAUUGAAUACUGCCUGGCUGGAGGUUUGGAGGGGGGACUGGAAUUCUUGGUGUAGCAGUGAAAUGCGUAGAUAUCAAGAGGAACACCAGUGGCGAAGGCGAGUCCCUGGACAACACCUGACACUGAGGCACGAAAGCCGGGGGAGCAAACAGG
rnacentral:rRNA from 1 species